CCUACGGGAGGCAGCAGUGAGGAAUAUUGGUCAAUGGACGGAAGUCUGAACCAGCCAUGCCGCGUGCAGGAAGACGGUUCUAUGAGUUGUAAACUGCUUUUGUACAAGGGUAAACCUGAAUACGUGUAUUCAGCUGAAAGUACUGUACGAAUAAGGAUCGGCUAACUCCGUGCCCGAAGCCGCGGUAAAAAGGAGGAUCCAAGCGUUAUCCGGAUUUAUUGGGUUUAAAGGUUGCGUAGGCGGAUUGAUAAGUUAGAUGGGAAAUGUCCGGGCUUAACCCGUGAACUGCCUCUAAUACUGUUGAUCUAGAGAGUAAGUGCGGUAGGCGGAAUGUAUGGUGUAGCGGUGAAAUGCUUAGAGAUCAUACAGAACACCGAUUGCGAAGGCAGCUUACCAACCUAUAUCUGACGUUGAGGCACGAAAGCGUGGGGAGCAAACAGGAUUAGAUACCCCAGUAGUC
rnacentral:rRNA from 1 species